ACUCAGUGCAGAGGGAAAUUGACACAGCCAUGAUGAGGCCUGGCUCACAAGAGCCAUAGUUACUGUAGGAGUUUCUGUGGCUAAAUAUGCUUAGCUAUUGAGGCAAGGACAUGUGCUGGAUGUGUAUGCAGUCUUUGAAGCUGGAGAGGCCUGUGUUGGAAACUGUGCUCUGUCCCAUGCCAGUUCCCUGACCUUGGAACCCCUAGAGCAAUCAACAGACAGACAGAGCCCUGCUUCAUGGAGCGUCUGCUCUCUCCUGGAGCUCACACGCUGAAACAGACAGGAUGCAACACCUCAGGGUUGUUGGAGAACCAGAGGCUGUUGCAAUUAGGAUGGCGAAUGGUGAAAAACAGUGUGGUUGAAUUGAACAUAAGCUGAAGGGCUAGACAUCAUGGCUUCAAUCCUUGUGGAGAAUGACUUGUGAAUUGCCACCUCCUGCAAAUCCUGUGGCCUAUGAUCUGGACCAAAUCACAUCCAAGUGUCUGAUCAGUUCUGAGAGUGGUUGUGGAUGACCUUAGUAUUCCAGAAGACUGGCUCUGAACGCACACUAGUGCAUCCACAAUGGGACAUCCAUGUGUAAAAAGGAGUGAGGAGCUGGGAUUCUUCAGUGGCCUCCAGCUUUCAUUCCAUACAGGAAUGGGCUCGUUCAUAUGCCUCUGAGAGAGUCAGCUUGGAGACAGGCAAGUCUGGGUUCAAAUCCUGGGUCCAUCCCUAGAUGGUUGAGUGUGGUUCCUUUAUCC
rnacentral:lncRNA from 1 species